rnacentral:rRNA from 1 species
GACGAACGCUUUCUUCUUUCUUAACACAUGCAAGUCGAACGGUGAAGCGCCUUCCUUUUUGGUGGGUGUGGAUGAGUGGCGAACGGGUGAGUAACACGUGAGUAACCUGCCCCCUUCUUCUGGAUAACCGCAUGAAAGUGUGGCUAAUACGGGAUCUUCUGGGUCUGUCGCAUGAUGGGUCUGGGACAGAUAUUGUUUCGGUGGGGGAUGGGCUCGCGGCCUAUCAGCUUGUUGGUGGGGUGAUGGCCUACCAAGGCGGUGUCGGGUAGCCGGCAUGAGAGGGUGGACGGUCACACUGUGACUGAGACACGGCCCAGACUCCUACGGGAGGCAGCGGUGGGGAAUAUUGCACAAUGGGCGCAAGCCUGAUGCAGCGACGCCGCGGGAGGGAUGGAGGCCUUCGGGUUGUGAACCUCUUUCGCCAGUGAAGCAGGCCUGCCUCGUUUGUGGGUGGGUUGACGGUAGCUGGAUAAGAAGCGCCGGCUAACUACGUG